rnacentral:rRNA from 1 species
UACGUAGGGGGCCAGCGUUGCUCGGAAUUACUGGGCGUAAAGGGUCCGUAGGCGGUGCGGAAAGUCGAUAGUGAAAUCUCUGGGCUUAACCCAGAGGCUGCUAACGAAACUGCCGUGCUAGAGUGUGAGAGAGGCGAGUGGAAUUACGGGUGUAGCGGUGAAAUGCGUAGAGAUCCGGAGGAACACCGAAGGCGAAGGCAGUGUCCUGGCGAGUGACUGACGCUGAGGUGCGAAAGCUAGGGGAGCGAACGGG